rnacentral:rRNA from 1 species
AGUGAACGCUGGCGGUAGGCCUAACACAUGCAAGUCGAACGGCAGCACAGUAAGAGCUUGCUCUUACGGGUGGCGAGUGGCGGACGGGUGAGGAAUACAUCGGAAUCUACUUUUUCGUGGGGGAUUACGGAGGGAAACUUACGCUAAUACCGCAUACGACCUACGGGUGAAAGCAGGGGAUCUUCGGACCUUGCGCGAUUGAAUGAGCCGAUGCCGGAUUAGCUAGUUGGCGGGGUAAAGGCCCACCAAGGCGACGAUCCGUAGCUGGUCUGAGAGGAUGAUCAGCCACACUGGAACUGAGACACGGUCCAGACUCCUACGGGAGGCAGCAGUGGGGAAUAUUCGACAAUGGGCGAAAGCCUGAUCCAGCCAUACCGCGUGGGUGAAGAAGGCCUUCGGGUUGUAAAGCCCUUUUGUUGGGAAAGAAAAGAAGCAGGUUAAUCCCCCGCUGUUCUGACGGUACCCAAAGAAUAAGCACCGGCUAACUUCGUG